ensembl:lncRNA
UUCCAGUAUGCGUCCAAGAUUCAUUCAUUUGUAUUUAGCUAUGUUUGAGAUGGCAUUACUGACUCCAUGGACAUGAACUUGGGCCAACUCCGGGAGAUGGUGGGCACAGGGAAGCCUGCUGUGCUGUAUUCCAUGGGGUCAUGAAGAGUUGGCCACAACUUGGUGACUGAACAACAACAACGUUUGAGAGGUCUGCACUGUGUGAAGACUGCUGGUACUGGGCUCCGGGAAGACUGAAGUGAUGAAGACUCAGCCUCUGGAUGCUGACAGCUUACAAGGGAAGGGUUCAUGCCAGCUUGAGAGUUUCAUGUCCUAGGACAGGCAGCCUGAAGUCAAGGGACCCCAGAGGAGGGAACACUUGUGUGUGAGAGUUCUGGGAGGAAGCAGCAUGGGGUUGAGCCCAAUAACAAAGUAGAGAACAAGGAACGUUAGGGGAAAGUUAACCACGCAAUUGAUAGCACAGAAGAGCAUGGCGGGAGACCAGGCCAAGAGGCCGGAAGGGGCUGAACCUGGAAGACUCCAGGGUGAGAGAGGGUGGAAGCUCAGGAGAGUGGCAGAAGGCUGGCUGCAGCCCCAGGUACUUCACUAAAGGGAGCUGCAACCUUGGUUUAAAAAAAAGGUCAAUGUCUCUGGUGUUCUGUUUCCACAUCUUAAGAGAAGGGAUAGGAAACCAGAUCAUCUUCAUUCCUUGCAGGAGGACUAUGAGCAAGAAAGUAACAUGAGUCAAGCUGCAUCUCAGGCUGAUGAAACCUGAGGAGAAGGGGAGUGGGACCCAUGUGUUCUCCCCAGGCAGGUGACUGAAAGAGAGUCUCUCGCCUGGGAGAGAAAGAAGCUUUCGAUAACAGCGGAGUUAUAGUAAAGAAACAGAAGCAAUAUAUUGAACCAUAACUAAGUAUCUUCCAUAAAAAAAAAAAGUAAACCCCAAGAACUCUUUCCUGAAUCUUAAUCAACAGAACUGACCUUCACAGAAAGGUAAUUUGGGACAUUUCUAUGGAGAUUAGAGGGGCCUCUAAAACAAUGAGAACAUCACCGACUUGAUGGACAUGAGUUUGAGCAAGCUCCAGGAGUUGGUGAUGGAUAAGGAAGCCUGGUGUGUUGCAGUCCAUGGGGUCACAAAGAGCUGGACACGACUGAGCUACUGAACUGAACGAGAAACAGUGG